rnacentral:rRNA from 1 species
GACGAACGCUGGCGGCGUGCCUAAUACAUGCAAGUCGAGCGAAGUUUUUCUGGUGCUUGCACUAGAAAAACUUAGCGGCGAACGGGUGAGUAACACGUAAAGAACCUGCCUCAUAGACUGGGACAACUAUUGGAAACGAUAGCUAAUACCGGAUAACAGUAUUUCUCGCAUGAGAGAUAUUUAAAAGUUGGUUAUGCUAACACUAUGAGAUGGCUUUGCGGUGCAUUAGCUAGUUGGUGGGGUAAAGGCCCACCAAGGCGACGAUGCAUAGCCGACCUGAGAGGGUGAUCGGGCACAAUUGGACCGAGACAAGGCCCAGACUCCUACGGGAGGCAGAAGUAGGGAAUCUUCCGCAAAGGGGGAAAGGCUGAAGGAGCAAAGGCGCGUGAGUGAAGAAGGAAUUCGGUUUGUAAAGCCCUGUUGGUAGGGAAGAAUGGAUAUGUAGUAACUAUACAUGUAAGAGACGGUACCUAACCAGAAAGCCACGGCUAACUACGUG